CGGCCUCUUCCCUGUUGGGCUAAGUCAAUCCAAACUUUUCUUUCUGAAAUCCCAGCCGCGAGGUUUUGUAGGCCCAUACACACGACGACGACGACGAUGGUUGCGGAUACCUCGGAAACUCAUCGCCAACGCAGUUCGACCGAUUCAGAGAAUCAGAAGCAGUUCAAUCCCGAAGCAAUUUCUGCUGUUCCUCAUCCCCUUCGUUUCAGUCAUCGGAACGAAGAAGCUCGAAUCCAAUUGGUUGUUACUCCUUGUUAGGAUCUAAGUAGCCCAACGCCGUCGUCCGAUGAGCGCGACGGAGGAGGGGGCGGACGGCGAGGCGUCCCCGCGCGCGGAGGCGUUCCUGGAGAUCCUCGGGCGGGUCCAGCCGGGGGAUGCGGAGGCGGAGCUCUCCUCCUGCGGCAUCGGCCCGACGGCGGAGGUCGCGGAGCAGGUGCUCAGGUCCCGCGUCUGCUACUCCCGCCCCAAAUCCGCCGUCCGCUUCUUCGUCUGGGCGGGACGGUCGGUGAAGCACACCGGCUACUCCUGGAACCUCCUCGUCGACAUUCUCGGCAAGGCCGGCAUGUACGAGCCCAUGUGGGACGCCGUCCGCUCCAUGAAGCAGGAGGGCGGGGGGCUCAUCACCGUCGCCACCUUCGCCUCCAUCUUCUCCUCCUACUGCGCCGUCGGCAACCUCAAGGAGGCCGUCAAGGCCUUCGACGUCAUGGAGCGCUACGGCGUGAAGCCGGACGCCGUGGCCCUCAACUCCCUCCUCUCCGCCAUGUGCCGCGGGGAGGGCCGCGCGCAGGCCGCGCAGGACCUGUUCGAGCGCGCCAAGGCCUCCAUCGCGCCCGACGCGGACACCUUCGGGAUACUCCUCGAGGCGUGGGAGAAGGAGGGGAACGCCCAGCGCGCCAAGAGCACCUUCGGCGAGAUGGUUGUCCGCGUCGGCUGGGACGCCAGCAACAUGCCCGCGUACGACGCCUUCCUCUCCACGCUCGUGCGCGGGGACCAAUUGGGUGAGGCGCUCAAGUUCCUCCAGGUGAUGCGGACCAAGGGCUGCUUCCCGGGGAUCAAGUUCUUCGCCAGGGCAAUCGACCUUGCUGUCCGCAAGCGCGACUAUGCCAACUCUUUGGCCAUUUGGGAAAUGAUGAUCUCGGAUGCUGGCCUUAUACCAAACCUCCCCAUGUACAACGCCAUCAUCGACCUUUGUUGCAAUGCUGGUAACACUGACUACGCCCUCCGCAUGCUUGACGAAAUGCCCUUCAAUGGCGUCUUUGCAGAUUCUAUCACAUACAAUGCCAUGCUCGAAGGGCUCAUCAAGCAGCGCAAGGCUCGUGAGGCUGAGGCUUUCCUUGAAGAGAUGAGCAAGAAUGAGCAGCUGCCCUCUGCAACCAAUUGUGCUGCUGCUAUCAACAUGUUCUCUAAGGAGUUUAACCCGUCAGCAGCAAUUGACGUGUGGCACUGCAUUGUGGAGCACCAGAUUACUCCGGCUGAUGAGUCGGCCCGAGAACUAAUAGUUGGGCUGCUUGACUUUGGCAGGUUUUCUGAGGUGGAGAAAUAUUCUGAUGAAAUGUUCGGCAUGGGAAUUGAGUUGCCUCGGUCGACCAUUGAUAAUAUGAAGCGAAUAUUUGAUAAGGCUGGCGAGCGACAUACAUAUGACCACAUUGUGAGGAGGCUAAAGCGACGUUAGCCACACAUCACUAAUUUUGUCAUAAUAGGUCUGAGACGAAGUUCUGAGCUGCAUGGGUUAGACCAUGGUGAGUUGCUGAUUUGACCUCAUAUUUGGCCUACCCGCUGCCAUGAUUUGCAGGUGCCAAAACAGGAUGGUGAUUUUCAGAUUUUUUUACGCUAAGAUCAAAUCGGCAUUCUUCAAAGGGGAUAGGCUUUGUUGAAUCAGUUUUGGCCUAUGAAUCUAUGAUUGCUUCGUGAUCAACUGGCCAAGGUGAUAGUUUCCCACACAUUCUUCAGUUGGGAUCCGCUUAACAUACCUUUUCUUUCAUAAAGCGCCAUUUUAUUACACAUAUAGCCUAAUAGAAAACAUAUUUACAUAGAGCUCCAACAUCCAGCUUGUUUAUGAUUUUUUUUUCUAAAAUGCGUACUCCUUUCCCCAGGUUUUAAGUACCCCUUCACAUCUGGACCUUCCAGACGCAGAUUAUACAUAAUCAUAUAAGCAAUUCAUCUUAUUAUUACACAUUUUUCACUCAACCUCUUUCUUUUUUGAAAUUUUCUCCAUUUUAUGCUACGUUGUCAACCUGUUGCGACAUGUUUGAUAGUUUGUUCAUAUUCAGCCCUGGUUCUGAUUGCUACGAAUUUGUUGAAUAGUGGGCACAGACCCACCUGAUGGAUAGAGGCCAGAGUCAUCUCUUUGUUUGUAUAUGCGAAAAAUGGAUCCCAUGUUUUGUUUUGACAAAAAGUGAAAUAAAAAAAACUCCAUAUCCUGCAUUGCCAGUUGCCAACGCAGUUGUAGAAAUCCAUCAAAUUAUUUGGCGUGAAUAGGACUUGAACCGUCCAGCUCGUUUCAACCAUAAAGGCGUAAAUUAUAGGGCUCCGGCGUCACCGUUAGCCUGGUAGGUCCUGUUCUUUUGUGCCAUUUCUUAAUCCAGUGGCUGCAGUGCAUCCACUUGUCGAUCCAGGAGUCGUGCUGCAUGUGUCAACAUGGAUCGCCCAUUUCAGGAGAAACGAUGGCUCAGGAAGCGUCCACUGAUGGCAUCUUGUGAAGAUGGGACUAAGAUCGACGGAUCUUCGCUUUCUGUUUUGUGCUGUGUCUUCAUGGACGAAAAGCGGCUUCAACUGCUUUCAUGAGAAUGGCUGCAUGGUCCAGGAAAGAGAGUUGUAAAAGUCCCAUUGCAAUUGCUUUCAUGUGAAAGUAUAGCAAACUGCAGAAUGUUCUAGCCUCAAAUUGCGGUUCGAGGUACAUUUCUCGUUGCUGUUCGAAUUCGCAUGGAUGAAUUUUAGGAAGGAAAGGAAAGGAAAGGAAAGGAAAGGUAAAGUUCCCUCAUUGAGCAAUGGUGAUGCAACGCCGUUGCAACGAACCGCUUUUGCACCACAAAUUUUAUCCGGCCGUAUGGUUCAGACAAGCUCGCCUGGCCUCAUGGCAAGACGUACAUAAUUAAUUUAGCCAGGCUACAAAUUUGUGUACUUUUGCAUUUGAUAAUUCAGAGAUUGGAGGGAUACAGCCAAUGCAGGCACAUCAUGAGACAUUUAGGUUGCAACUAAUCAAGCUUCUGAUAACAAUCUUAAUUAGCGAGUGAUUCUUGCGAUGUACGCAUGCAGGACGAUACAUGAUUCGUUGUCCUUGUUAUUAUUUGCAGCCAAACUGCUGAUCAAGCAAUGACUAAUGGUUUGCGCUGCCAGAAA